UAUGGCUACUUUUUAUAUACUUUUAAAUAAAAACAAGUAACCGUUUAAUCAAAAAUAUUUAAUCGUUAUUUCUCUUUAAUAAUAAUAAUAAUAAUAAAUGGUGAAAAUACUUGGAGGUAGCCGGGAGUCAGCGAUGCGAAAGAACCUGCAAAUGAUAGAGAAGAGGUUUGUAUCGUAUUCGAAAGUACGAGAAAAUAACUAGUCUCUCAGCAGGCCGAAAUGUAACAAAACGAUACGGAAAAAUUAAAUAA